GGAGAUUAACUGGUUCGAUGCCGGGCUGGAGAGAGCGGCCAUAUCUCGCACGGCUCUCCCUUCAGGGCUGGAGCGGCGAGAGCUGAAUCCUGGUCAGCAUUCCCCAGCUCGAGCUUCCCAGGCCCCACCUAGGGUAACGCUUCCACAUUAGGUUGGCUCGAUCGUCAUCGCUACCACAGAGCAAGGAAAGUGGGAAGCAUCCAUAAGACAGCAGGAACGCUGGGCACCCCCACCACCACUGAAAUGAUCCACAAAGCUCUGUACCCCACCCCACCCCAUACCCGACCCCCUCUGUGCCCCGGCUCCUUCUUUGAAUUUCAAGAAAGAGUCAAAGGAGCCCUCCUUCAGAGGACUUUCUGGUGAGAGGAAAACAAAGGAAUGUAAACAGGGGAAGAACAUGCCGUCUUCCUCCACCUGGCUCCAAACCUCUUUUGUACCUUAUAAAUUAAUUAUCCCCUCCUCCGUCAA